UACAGAGGGUGCGAGCGUUAGUCGGAAUUACUGGGCGUAAAGCGCACGUAGGCGGCUUGGUAUGUCGGGUGUGAAAUCCCCGGGCUCAACCUGGGAACUGCAUCCGAAACUGCCUUGCUCGAGUAUGGGAGAGGGAAGUGGAAUUUCCGGUGUAGCGGUGAAAUGCGUAGAUAUCGGAAGGAACAUCAGUGGCGAAGGCGACUUCCUGGACCAAUACUGACGCUCAGGUGCGAAAGCGUGGGGAGCAAACAGG
rnacentral:rRNA from 1 species